rnacentral:tRNA from 1 species
GGGUUUGUAGCUCAAUUGGACAGAGCGACAGUUUCCUAAACUGUAGGUUCCGGGUUCGAUCCCCGGCAGACCCACCA